UUCAGAGGUCUCGAGCGUUGUUCGGAUUUACUGGGCGUAAAGGGAGCGUAGGCGGCCGGGUGUGUCGAAUGUGAAAGCCCACAACUCAACUGUGGAAUGGCAUUCGAAACUACCUGGCUAGAGUACUGGAGAGGAGAGCGGAAUUCUUGGUGUAGCGGUGAAAUGCGUAGAUAUCAAGAGGAACACCGGUGGCGAAGGCGACUUGCUGGGCCGUAACUGACGCUGAAGCGCGAAAGCGUGGGGAGCGAACAGGAUUAGAUACCCCCGUA
rnacentral:rRNA from 1 species